GAGUUUGAUCGUGGCUCAGAACGAACGCUGGCGGCAGGCCUAACACAUGCAAGUCGAGCGGGCGCGAGCGAUCGCGUCAGCGGCGCACGGGUGAGUAACGCGUGGGAACCUGCCCUUUGGUACGGAACAACCCUGGGAAACUAGGGCUGAUACCGCAUGAGCCCCGCGAGGGGGAAAGAUUUAUCGCCGAAGGAGGGGCCCGCGUCCGAUUAGCUAGUUGGUGGGGUAACGGCCUACCAAGGCUGCGAUCGGUAGCCGGUCUGAGAGGACGAUCGGCCACACUGGGACUGAGACACGGCCCAGACUCCUACGGGAGGCAGCAGUGGGGAAUAUUGGACAAUGGGCGCAAGCCUGAUCCAGCCAUGCCGCGUGGGUGAAGAAGGCCUUCGGUUGUAAGACC
rnacentral:rRNA from 1 species